AGAACUGGGGACUGAAGGAAGAGCAGGCGUUCAGGAAGAGGAGAUUAGGACACACAGAGAGACACCAGGGAUGGACAGGCACAGAGGAAAGACCAUCUGAGGACACACCAGAAUCGACCAUCUGCAAGCCAAGAGGAGGUCUUUGGAGGAACCAACCCUGCUGACACCCUGAUCUCAGACUUCCAGCCUCCAGAAUUGUGAGAAAAUUAAUCUCUGUCAUUUAAGCCACCCAGUCUGUAGUACUUUGUUAUGGC
rnacentral:lncRNA from 10 species